CACGCAGUUAGCCGUGGCUUUCUCAUAAGGUACCGUCAAUUGAUAGUCAUUUCCUCCUAUCACCUUUCUUCCCUUAUAACAGAAUUUUACAACCCGAAGGCCUUCUUCAUUCACGCGGCGUUGCUCGGUCAGGCUUUCGCCCAUUGCCGAAGAUUCCCUACUGCUGCCUCCCGUAGGAGUCUGGGCCGUGUCUCAGUCCCAGUGUGGCCGUUCACCCUCUCAGGUCGGCUACGCAUCGUCGCCUUGGUAGGCCUUUACCCCACCAACUAGCUAAUGCGCCGCAGGCUCAUCCAUCAGUGAUGCCAGGAGCAUCUUUAAACUUUCGUCCUAUCCGGUAUUAGCGAUCGUUUCCAAUCGUUGUCCCCGUCUGAUGGGCAGAUCACCUACGUGUUACUCACCCGUUCGCCGCUUCCCACCGAAGUGGUUCGCUCGACUUGCAUGUAUUAGGCACGCCGCCAGCGUUCAUCCUGAGCCAGGAUCAAACUCU
rnacentral:rRNA from 1 species